rnacentral:rRNA from 1 species
UGAGGAAUAUUGGUCAAUGGGCGAGAGCCUGAACCAGCCAAGUAGCGUGAAGGAUGAAGGCCCUAUGGGUCGUAAACUUCUUUUAUAAAGGAAUAAAGUCACCUACGUGUAGGUGUUUGUAUGUACUUUAUGAAUAAGGAUCGGCUAACUCCGUGCCAGCAGCCGCGGUAAUACGGAGGGUGCGAGCGUUAAUCGGAAUCACUGGGCGUAAAGCGCACGUAGGCUGUUUGUCAAGUCAGAGGUGAAAUCCCACGGCCCAGCCGUGGAACUGCCUUUGAAACUGGCAGACUUGAGUGUCGGAGAGGGUGGCGGAAUUCCAGGUGUAGGAGUGAAAGCCGUAGAUAUCUGGAGGAACACCGGUGGCGUAGGCGGCCACCUGGACGAUAACUGACGCUGAGGUGCGGAAGCGUGGGUAGCAAACA